rnacentral:rRNA from 1 species
CAAUAGCGUAUAUUAAAGUUGUUGCAGUUAAAAAGCUCGUAGUUGGAUUUCGGGGUGGCCUGCCUGGUCCACCGCAAGGUGAGUACUGGUCAGCCGCCCUUCCUCUCGAAAGCCCCGACUGCUCUUCAUUGCAGUGGUCGGGUAGUUCGGGACGUUUACUUUGAAAAAAUUAGAGUGUUCAAGGCAGGCUCUCGCCUGAAUACAUUGGCAUGGAAUAAUGGAAGAGGACCUCGGUCCUAUUUUGUUGGUUUCUAGGGCCGAAGUAAUGAUUAAGAGGGACAGUUGGGGGCAUUCGUAUUUAAUUGUCAGAGGUGAAAUUCUUGGAUUUAUGAAAGACGAACUAGUGCGAAAGCAUUUGCCAAGGAUGUUUUCAUUAA